AUAAAAGCCUUUACGGAUACAGUAUGAUCAUACAGAUUUAUUUAGAGGGACACCCCGCGGCGAUGCCCAGUGUGUGGCCACCAUGGGCAGGGACAUCCCCUGGGCCUCCUGGGCACAGGCGCUGCCUCAGGGCCAGCAGCCCAAAGGCCUUUCUCCAAGGGAUGCUGGGUGAAGGGGCAGCGGCAGCAGCAGGGCUGCGGUGGGCAGGGCUGCAGGGGCCCCGUCACCCCCGUGUCAUAGUGCCGGCACCCGGCCACGCAGCAUCACAAUGCUCCGGGGCAGUAUGAGUCCAGCGCCCUCCCCUGCCCCACUGCCAGAGUGCCCGGCGCUGCCACCAGGACAGAGCUGGCAGGCGGAGGGCAUCCGAGAGGCAGUCCUUGGGGCACCGGGGGAAUUCCUGGCAGGGGGAAGGGGGUUGAUGGGGGCAACCCUUGAAGCUGCACGAAGCUGCAGGAGGUUCUGUGCUGUGGUUCCAGCUCCUGGAGGGGCCACGCUCAAAGCUCAUCGGAUCUAUGGAUGGAUGCAUGGAUGGAAAUCCUGCCUCAGUCACUGGGGAGCUCGCCGUCCUCAUCUCCUGGGCACCAGGGUAUUAGCUCCUGGAGGGGCCACGCUCAAAGCUCAUCGGAUCUAUGGAUGGAUGGAUGGAUGGAUGGAAAUCCUGCUUCAGUCGUUGGGGAGCUCGCCGUCCUCCUCUGCUGGGCACCAGGGUAUUAGGUGGGGGGGGACUGAGGGAGGGAACACUUGAAGCUGCGAAGCUGCAGGAGGCUCUGUGCUGCGGUUCCAGCUUCUGGAGGGGCCACGCUCAAAGCAUCAUCGAGGGAUCCUGCUUUGGUUGUCAGGGAGCUCGCCGUCCUCACCUCCUGGGGAGAGAGUGGCAGUAGCCAGAAGAAAAAGGAUGCACAGGCGGCUCAGUGCCCUCCCCCAGGGCUCUGGAGCUCCCACUGCCAAGCACAGGAAGGAUUCGUGCUCCGAGGAUUCAUCAGGCCAAUGGCAUUUUGCUGUUGUUGGAAGCCCCUGAGAUGACUUCACGUGGAAGCAGAAAAAGCAGUGCCAGUGUCCCCUUGUCCCCUUAGAGGCGUAACCAGCAUGUGGAGCGGGAGCAGGUCUUGCUCACGUGCUCAGGGAGUAGCCGACCGCCAGCACUGGGGUCAGGAAGGAAUUUUCCCCCGGGGCAGAUUGGCACCCGUCCCCGGGGGUUUUUUGCCUUCCUCUGAGCACGGAGCAUGACCCCUUGUCAGGGCUCCUCGGUCCAUUCUGGCUGCGUUAUCGCCCGGUGCUCAUGCUCCGCGAAGGCGGCCCCUCGUGUCCUGCAGCUGGGGGAGGGAAGUGCUUUUUUCCCCCCAGGCUGGACUAGCAAGCGUCCCUGGGGUUUUUUGCCUUCCUCUGCAGCCGAGCACAGCCCCUUCACGGGGCUCCUUUGGGUCAUGGUGUCCCAAAGGCAGCUGCUCGUGCUCCACGCAGGUGGCCCUCGUGCCCCGCAUCCGGGGGGAGGCAGCCUUCUGCACUCCCAGGCUGGCCCCAGCGUGGCCCCGGGACUCGCUGCUGUCCUCUGGAGUACUGAGCACCAGCCCUCGUCAGCUCUUCCCUGGCCCUUUCUGGCUGGGUUCUUUCUUGCACUGCUCUCGCAACACCACGGCGCCGCUCCUGCCCUGGCUUUCCUUUCUCAGGCUGCAAGGGAGGGUUUUUCCAGCUAAACUGAAGGGUCUAAGCUAAACCAGACUAAAAUUAACUAAGCUAAACUAAAUCAAAUCACUUGAUUUAGAAAUAAAUCAAAUACUCUUUCUACCCGUAA